UCUUGUUUACAUUAAAUUGCUCUUUUGGAUACUUGAAUUUACACAGUACACACAGUCUGAAUAGAGAAAUAUGUGUAAUCAUAAUCUGUGCAAGAAAAAUCAGUUUACGGACUUGAAAUUGAACAGAUCAGGCCUGAAAUUGGCAUAUUUCAAUAGAUUUCGAAGGCAAACAGGCAGAUUUUCACACACUAGACUUGAAUAUUGGUUUCCUUAAAUGCUACAUUGAGCAUAAAUCAUCAUAUUUGAGGUCCUGAAUUGUAUGUUUACUUAUUUUGUUGGAUUUCUUAUAUUUUCAGUACCCAAAACCUUGAAAUGAGAGCGCUUGAACAAUGUGAAAUUUGUCGCAUAGAUGGGGAUUGACCGCCUUAGUGUAUAUAAGUCUACAACUUCUCAGAUUUGACUGAAGACAAUUGUUUGGUGUUGUGAAUAGAUGUGGUUUGGCCGCAGGCUUUCCACUCACACAGAAGAUACUGGCUGGAUCACGAGAAGGGUCACUUCAAUUGAUAUUAGUCAUCGGAAAAAUUAGGAGAACCAGUUGUAGAUUCUCAAGUUGAAAUUUUUCAAGAGAAAUAUAUGAGGUAGGGCUCUGCAGUUUUCCAUAAACACAACAAGAAGUUUACAUUUGUUGCACAGAGUUGAAGGAAUUGUUAUAGGAAAAGUGUACAGAAUGUAAGGAUAUGACAGCCAAACACCUUCCCCAGGAUUUGAUACAGCAACCUUCUGAUAGAAAGAUGUACCUGUUGUGCAAAGGGGAUAAGCUGGCUUGGUGACAGGAAAAAGAAAAGGUAAAUGGCCCCAGGAAAGACAAGAUACAGCAGAUACAAGAUGCUAAGGACAAGAAUGUCUGUUAUUCAUGGAAACAUCAGAGUUCAGCAGGUUCUUGAAACAGGUAAUUUGAUAAUC
rnacentral:lncRNA from 1 species